GACGAACGCUGGCGGCGUGCUUAACACAUGCAAGUCGAACGGUGAAGCGCCUUCCUUUUUGGUGGGUGUGGAUGAGUGGCGAACGGGUGAGUAACACGUGAGUAACCUGCCCCCUUCUUCUGGAUAACCGCAUGAAAGUGUGGCUAAUACGGGAUAUUCUGGGUCUGUCGCAUGAUGGGUCUGGGAAAGAUAUUGUUUCGGUGGGGGAUGGGCUCGCGGCCUAUCAGCUUGUUGGUGGGGUGAUGGCCUACCAAGGCGGUGACGGGUAGCCGGCCUGAGAGGGUGGACGGUCACACUGGGACGGAGACACGGCCAAGACUCCUACGGGAGGCAGCAGUGGGGAAUAGUGCACAAUGGGCGCAAGCCUGAUGCAGCGACGCCGCGUGAGGGAUGGAGGCCUUCGGGUUGUGAACCUCUUUCGCCAGUGAAGCAGGCCUGCCUCGUUUGUGGGUGGGUUGACGGUAGCUGGAGAAGAAGCGCCGGCUAACUACGUG
rnacentral:rRNA from 1 species